GACUCUUUAGCAUAGUGGUUAUUGUACUCGUCUCCAAUGUGAGAAAACAGCAGAAAGCGGGGGGUCGGGCGUUCAACUCGCCCAAGGGUCA
rnacentral:tRNA from 1 species